AAGGGAGACCUAAUUCCGGUAGGAGACGAAAAAAAAGUAGUCCCAACCAAGAAUCAAUCCCAAAAGGUCGGAACGAGGUAUGAGGCUUUCAAACUAGGUUCUGGGUUCAUAAAAGACCUGAAUCAGGAACAAGGGCUAUUAGCUCAGGUGGUUAGAGCGCACCCCUGAUAAGGGUGAAGUCCCUGUUUCGAGUCCAGGAUGGCCCACCUGCACAGGUGGCAAAAACAAGAGAAGCUCCGAAUCAGCACCUUAUCUUAUAUACAUAUAUAAGAGAGAAUGCUGGCUCUGAGUAAAGAGUCCAGAGGAACCUUGAAAACUGCAUAGAGCUAGGUGAAAAAGCCAAAAAAGAAGACCGCAA
rnacentral:tRNA from 1 species